CGCCGCCGCCGCCGCCGCAGCGCAGGAACCGUUGGCACCAACGCCUCUUCGGGAGCUCAGGAACCCCCGCCACCUCCAGAGCCCCAGAGCACCGGAGCCAAGGCCGCCAGAGCACAGAAACUGUUGGGAGCCAAUGCGGAGUCCUGAGCGUAGGAACCCGCUGAGGCCGCCUCACCGAGCCAUCCUCGCCACCAAGAGCACAAAGUCGCCACUGCUGCCAGAACACAGGAAACGUUGGAGCCAAUGCCUCUGCCGCCACCAGAUCAAGAAGCCAAUGCCAGCGCCAUCGCUUCUGCCAGAGCACAGGAACUACUGGAGCCAACACCUUGUUGAGCCACCACGCUGCAACCCACGACGCUGCCGCUGCCGCUGCUGGAGCCAAGAGCCAAUGCCGCAGCCUUGCUGCCACCAUAGCAAAGGUCCGCUGGAGCCAAAGCCGCCUCCAGGACGCAGAGGCUGCCACUGUCACUGCAACCACCUUUAAAGCACAGGAGCCAAAGCCACCUGCUGCGUCCUGAGCGCCAGAGCCCCCGCCGGCAUCACCAGAGAGCUGGAGACAAGGACUCUGCUAUCUCUGCUUCCAGGAAGCACAGGAGCUUCAGGAAGGCAGGAGCCCCAGUCGCCGCAGCCGCUGCAGCCGCCAGACCUUAAAGCGGCUCACGACAGGAUCCAAGCCGAAUGAACUCUGUGCAAGGCUUUGCUGUGACCUCCAUGGGGUAAGGGAGGCGUGAGGGAGGACAGCCUCUGCCGCUCCCACAGCGUGAUCGCAAAAGCAUUCUUGCUUUGUCUCUCAGGGUUGGAGACCCAGCAGAAAUUGGAGAACAACCUGAAGAAGGUGGUAGGUACGGGGACUUAAUCGCA
rnacentral:lncRNA from 1 species